rnacentral:lncRNA from 1 species
GAAAAUACUCAAUCAAACCAUUUGUACGUACUUCAAUAAAGGAAGCGGGGGCCUCCUCAAUCGAAGAACUGUUUUUGCCGUCAUCCCAAUUGAAGACUAAACAAGUCUGAACUAAUUGAAUCCUUGUGUCGGAAAUUCCCCGAAUGGAUUUUCCAUUUCCAUAAAGAAUAUAAUUGACAACUUUUAGUUCCAGAUUAUCCUUUUCCUGGAAUAGAUCUUGGGGAAAAAGUUUUACAACAUUGUUACUGUCCGGUAUUUCAUAUAAAAUGACAGGUCGAACCAAAACAAAAUACUUUUUUUUGGUAGUUGCGAUCCAUUGGACAUAGAUCCAAUUUUUAAUUUUUUUUGAUUUAUUGCAUUUUUUUUUAGAUCUUGGGGAAAAAGUUUUACAAAAUUGUUACUGUCCGGUAUUUCAUAUAAAAUGACAGGUCGAACCAAAACAAAAUACUUUUUUUUGGUAGUUGCGAUCCAUUGGACAUAGAUCCAAUUUUUUUUUUUUUUUUUAUUUAUUGCAUUUUUUUUACCGUUCUGGGUGGUAUCAAGAUGACACUGUGUCGGGAUAUCUUAUCCAUCUCUCCGGGAAAAUGGAUAUUUCCAGAAAAUAUUCUUAAUUCGAUUUUUUUUUCUUGUCUAAUCGGACCAAUCCGCCUACUCGACUUCUUAUAUUGAAAAUGAUUGGUGUUCCUAUUCCAACAAGACUAUUAUUCUGUACCAUUAGGGAAGAAGAUUUGGGUAAAAUAUGCACUUCUUCGGGAAUAAAAAAAAUCGAUCUACUUGAAUUUGAGAUUUUGGCUUUAAUUCUUUGAUUCCUCGAUACUCAAUGAAAUCUUCUUUUUGAAAAAUGAAAUGAAUUCCUAUAGUUCUAUAUUUAGUAAUUCCUGAACUAACUAUGUCGACUAACUAUGUCGUCUGUAUUGAGGAUCAUCGAAAUAAGCAAAAAUACUAUUUCUAUGAAAAAUACCAUUGAUAGGUAUUUCAAUGGAGACACCGGAAGGGGACAUUCGUUCGUUCUUUCGUUCUUGAANNNNN